CUCUCCACUAACAACUCACAUAAUCCAUGCUAAGACCAGCCUACCAUAUUUUCCCAAGACCCAAAAUGUGCUUUCCUACUAAGAAAAAGAAGUGUACAGAAUUUACAGCUGUAUGAUAAGGGACCCAGAUAGAAAUCUAAUCUCCAAAAGAAUUACACCACACAAAAAGAAUUUACUGCUGUAUGAUGAAGGCUCCAGAUAGAGAUCUAAUCUCUACAAGAAUUACACCACAUGAAAGAGCACAUCACUCCUGUCAGGACUGCCGCCUGCGUAAAAGAGGGUUUGAGCGCGUUGCCACACUCUUCUACACAAAAAAUACCACUCAAGGAUUUUCUAAAGGGUAUAGGAGCAGCAAUCAAUGCUUCACGGGUGGCUGUACCUCCUGCUCCUAGGCUUCUCGCACAUCAGGAUGCCAUGAAGCCACAACUGGGGACUUUUUUAAAGUCCUGAAAUGAGGAAAAUCGGGUGAAGCAUAUUAGCAAAGAAGGAAUAAAGGAGGUUGAAGGGGACAAACUAGCAAGACCAAGAUCUUUAGGAUAUGAGAGGACUGGAUCCAACCUUUCAUACACACACAUGUAUAUAAAGCAAGAGUAAAUCAGAGCAACCUGUCUUCCUUUAAAAAUGUGAAGAUGGCCUCUCAUGGACAUAUCUCCCAAGGCAAAAAUAUGAUGAGGGGUUUACACUUAAGUCCCCUGAGGAGUCAUCCUCUCCUGAGAGAUCAGAAGGUCCAAGACUUCUGGCUGGAAUACAGAGUCAAUGGUGUCCUAUCUAGAAAAUGUAUAGGGAAAACAGGUUACCCAAAUUAAAACCACAGGCUUUGCAAAAGG